rnacentral:rRNA from 1 species
GUUUGAUCCUGGCUCAGGAUGAACGCUGGCGGCGUGCCUAAUACAUGCAAGUCGAGCGAACGGACGAGAAGCUUGCUUCUCUGAUGUUAGCGGCGGACGGGUGAGUAACACGUGGAUAACCUACCUAUAAGACUGGGAUAACUUCGGGAAACCGGAGCUAAUACCGGAUAAUAUUUUGAACCGCAUGGUUCAAAAGUGAAAGACGGUCUUGCUGUCACUUAUAGAUGGAUCCGCGCUGCAUUAGCUAGUUGGUAAGGUAACGGCUUACCAAGGCAACGAUGCAUAGCCGACCUGAGAGGGUGAUCGGCCACACUGGAACUGAGACACGGUCCAGACUCCUACGGGAGGCAGCAGUAGGGAAUCUUCCGCAAUGGGCGAAAGCCUGACGGAGCAACGCCGCGUGAGUGAUGAAGGUCUUCGGAUCGUAAAACUCUGUUAUUAGGGAAGAACAUAUGUGUAAGUAACUGUGCACAUCUUGACGGUACCUAAUCAGAAAGCCACGGCUAACUACGUGCCAGCAGCCGCGGUAAUACGUAGGUGGCAAGCGUUAUCCGGAAUUAUUGGGCGUAAAGCGCGCGUAGGCGGUUUUUUAAGUCUGAUGUGAAAGCCCACGGCUCAACCGUGGAGGGUCAUUGGAAACUGGAAAACUUGAGUGCAGAAGAGGAAAGUGGAAUUCCAUGUGUAGCGGUGAAAUGCGCAGAGAUAUGGAGGAACACCAGUGGCGAAGGCGACUUUCUGGUCUGUAACUGACGCUGAUGUGCGAAAGCGUGGGGAUCAAACAGGAUUAGAUACCCUGGUAGUCCACGCCGUAAACGAUGAGUGCUAAGUGUUAGGGGGUUUCCGCCCCUUAGUGCUGCAGCUAACGCAUUAAGCACUCCGCCUGGGGAGUACGACCGCAAGGUUGAAACUCAAAGGAAUUGACGGGGACCCGCACAAGCGGUGGAGCAUGUGGUUUAAUUCGAAGCAACGCGAAGAACCUUACCAAAUCUUGACAUCCUUUGACAACUCUAGAGAUAGAGCCUUCCCCUUCGGGGGACAAAGUGACAGGUGGUGCAUGGUUGUCGUCAGCUCGUGUCGUGAGAUGUUGGGUUAAGUCCCGCAACGAGCGCAACCCUUAAGCUUAGUUGCCAUCAUUAAGUUGGGCACUCUAAGUUGACUGCCGGUGACAAACCGGAGGAAGGUGGGGAUGACGUCAAAUCAUCAUGCCCCUUAUGAUUUGGGCUACACACGUGCUACAAUGGACAAUACAAAGGGCAGCGAAACCGCGAGGUCAAGCAAAUCCCAUAAAGUUGUUCUCAGUUCGGAUUGUAGUCUGCAACUCGACUACAUGAAGCUGGAAUCGCUAGUAAUCGUAGAUCAGCAUGCUACGGUGAAUACGUUCCCGGGUCUUGUACACACCGCCCGUCACACCACGAGAGUUUGUAACACCCGAAGCCGGUGGAGUAACCUUUUAGGAGCUAGCCGUCGAAGGUGGGACAAAUGAUUGGGGUGAAGUCGUAACAAGGUAGCCGUAUCGGAAGGUGCGGCUG